rnacentral:lncRNA from 1 species
GCAGUAGUUACUCAUGACUGCUCCUUAUCUCUCUCUCUGUCUCUUUCUGUCUCUCUCUGUCUCUCUGUCUCUGUCUCUCUGUGUCUCUCUCUGUCUCUCUGUGUCUCUCUGUGUCUCUGUGUCUCUGUCUCUGUGUCUCUGUCUCUGUCUCUCUGUCUCUCUGUCUCUGUCUCUGUAUCUGUCUCUCUCUCUCUGUCUCUCUCUCUCUCUGUCUCUCUGUCUCUGUCUCUGUCUCUGUCUCUGUCUCUGUCUCUGUCUCUGUCUCUGUAUCUGUCUCUCUCUCUCUCUCUCUCUCUCUCUCUGUCUCUCUGUCUCUGUCUCUGUCUCUGUCUCUGUCUCUGUCUCUGUCUCUGUCUCUGUCUCUGUCUCUCUCUCUCUCUCUCUCUCUCUCUCUGUCUCUCUCUCUCUCUCUCUCUCUCUCUCUCUCUCUCUCUCUCUCUCUCUCUCUCUCUCUCUCUCUCUCUCUCUCUCUCUCUCUCUCUCUCCCCCCCCCUUACAUGUCUCUAUGGCCAACAAACUCUAGUAUGGAUUCAGUUUCUGAACCUUUCAAGUUCUCAUGGGGUUGCAUAAUUUUCUGUUCUAUAGCCAACCUUCAUUCCCCUAAGAGCAAGAAAGAACAAGGGCAAAAAGAGUGAGUCCCCUCCAACACCUGGAGGUCCACAGCAAUUCAUCUCCCACACUUGAAUGCAGCUGGGGAAGGAAAAAAGGGACCCCUUUGCCUGGUUGGCAUUCUUGUGUAAGCUCACUCUUUCUUGGCUCGGCAGAUAUCCAAAGGACCUUUUCUUUACCAUGUGGCAACCUAUCAUAUAUCUGUGAAUCUCUGAAUUCCUGAGAGAAUUUGAAUCAGGGACAGCACACUAUGGAUGUUCAUCAGGAACAGGAGUUCACUGGUCCAGUCCUCUGUUCCACUAAUCUAUGUAGCCCAAAUCUCUUUUAAAUUCCUAUAUGAUGGGUCUUUUUUUUUUUUAAACCCUUACUUUUCUGUCUUAAAAUCAAUACUGUGUGUUGGUUCUAAGGCAGAAGAGCAACAAGGGCUAGGCAAUGGAGGUUAAGUGACUUAUUCAGGGACACACAGUUAGGAAGUAUCUGAGGCCAUAUUUGAACUGAGGACCUUCGAUCUGUAGGUCUGGCUCUCAAUCUGCUGAGCCAUCCAACUGCCCCUGGUGAUGGGUCCUUUUUAAAGAAUUACAUGAUAGAUUCAGUGCCUACUAGUUUGGUUUACUUUGAUGCCCUAGAAGUAUUUCAAACUUCACAUGUUCAAAAUGAACUUGUAGUGUUUCCUGUAAAACUCAUCCGUCUUUCAAACUUUUCCAGUCUGUUGACAGCACUACCAUGUUUGUAGUCCCCUAAUUUUGCUACCUUGGAGUUGUCUUUGACCCUUUUCCUUCCUCAGUGCCCAUUUCCAGGCAGUUUUCAAGUCUUGACAAUUCUUCUACCACAACAUCCCCUUGAAUAAGUUCUUAUCUCUCCGUUCACACAAACUAUACAUUAGUCUGAGCUUUCAUCACCUCUUGUCUGGAGUC